rnacentral:rRNA from 1 species
CCUACGGGAGGCAGCAGUGAGGAAUAUUGGUCAAUGGCCGAAAGGCUGAACCAGCCAAGUCGCGUGAAGGAAGAAGGUUCUAUGGAUUGUAAACUUCUUUUGUCAGGGAGUAAAGGCACCCACGUGUGGGUGUUUGAGAGUACCUUAAGAAUAAGCAUCGGCUAACUCCGUGCCAGCAGCCGCGGUAAUACGGAGGAUGCGAGCGUUAUCCGGAUUUAUUGGGUUUAAAGGGUGCGUAGGCUGGUUUAUAAGUCAGCGGUGAAAUCCUGGGGCUCAACCACCUAACUGCCGUUGAAACUGAUGAUCUUGAGUGUGUGAGAGGUAUGCGGAAUGCGUGGUGUAGCGGUGAAAUGCAUAGAGAUCACGCAGAACUCCGAUUGCGAAGGCAGCUUAC